rnacentral:rRNA from 1 species
GAUGAACGCUAGCUACAGGCUUAACACAUGCAAGUCGAGGGGCAGCAUGGUCUUAGCUUGCUAAGGCUGAUGGCGACCGGCGCACGGGUGAGUAACACGUAUCCAACCUGCCGUCUACUCUUGGCCAGCCUUCUGAAAGGAAGAUUAAUCCAGGAUGGGAUCAUGAGUUCACAUGUCCGCAUGAUUAAAGGUAUUUUCCGGUAGACGAUGGGGAUGCGUUCCAUUAGAUAGUAGGCGGGGUAACGGCCCACCUAGUCAACGAUGGAUAGGGGUUCUGAGAGGAAGGUCCCCCACAUUGGAACUGAGACACGGUCCAAACUCCUACGGGAGGCAGCAGUGAGGAAUAUUGGUCAAUGGGCGAUGGCCUGAACCAGCCAAGUAGCGUGAAGGAUGACUGCCCUAUGGGUUGUAAACUUCUUUUAUAAAGGAAUAAAGUCGGGUAUGCAUACCCGUUUGCAUGUACUUUAUGAAUAAGGAUCGGCUAACUCCGUGCCAGCAGCCGCGGUAAUACGGAGGAUCCGAGCGUUAUCCGGAUUUAUUGGGUUUAAAGGGAGCGUAGAUGGAUGUUUAAGUCAGUUGUGAAAGUUUGCGGCUCAACCGUAAAAUUGCAGUUGAUACUGGAUAUCUUGAGUGCAGUUGAGGCAGGCGGAAUUCGUGGUGUAGCGGUGAAAUGCUUAGAUAUCACGAAGAACUCCGAUUGCGAAGGCAGCCUGCUAAGCUGCAACUGA